rnacentral:rRNA from 1 species
GGGGAAUUUUGGACAAUGGGGGCAACCCUGAUCCAGCCAUGCCGCGUGCGGGAAGAAGGCCUUCGGGUUGUAAACCGCUUUUAUUUGGGAAGAAGGAGUCAGGGCUAAUACCCUUGAUGACGGACGGUACCGGAUGAAUAAGCACCGGCUAACUACGUGCCAGCAGCCGCGGUAAUACGUAGGGUGCGAGCGUUAAUCGGAAUUACUGGGCGUAAAGCGUGCGCAGGCGGUUCGAGAAGUCAGCUGUGAAAGCCCCGGGCUUAACCUGGGAAUGGCGGUUGAAACUCUCGGACUAGAAUCUGGCAGAGGGGGGUGGAAUUCCACGUGUAGCAGUGAAAUGCGUAGAGAUGUGGAGGAACACCGAUGGCGAAGGCAGCCCCCUGGGCUGAGAUUGACGCUCAGGCACGAAAGCGUGGGGAGCAAAC